CGGUUACAUCUCGGGCUUCCGGCGCUAGUUGGGUCUUUGUUUUUGGUGUUUUAGAGUCGGUGAAGGCUUUAAAAUGGAGUCUUGCUCUGUCACCCAGACUGGAGUACAGUGGUGUGAUCUCAGCUCACUGCAACCUCCACUUCCCAGGUUCAAGCGAUUCUCCUGCCCCAGCUUCCCGAGCAGCUGGGACUACAGAAUAUGCUCUCCAUGAGGGUGCUCUUCAGGGCCUACCACAAUGGCUGGCACUAGAAAAGGGCACAAAAUUGAAGAACAGUGAAGACAAAAGCAAUAAGAUAAUUAAGGCCAUGUGAGACAGCAACAAUAUCAGCUGACUGUCACCCCUUAUCGAGUUUGUCAACAGUGGCGGAAAAGGAAGUUUGUAUCACCUGUGUUAAUGCUGCUCUGGAAAGGGAGCCAGAAUGAGAGUGCACAGUGAUCACGCAGUCACCAUCAAAUAAACCAUGACUAGGCACAUACUCUGGGAUGGCUGCAUCUCUCCUGUGGGAAAGAGAGAGACAGAAAGAGAGAGCAACAUGUCAUCCGAUGACUGCAGCCUAGAUGGAUAUGUCUAUGAUAGAGUGCUUCAAUUGGAAUCUGCCUCUUGUAACUGAAAAUUACUUUAAACAAUAAAAAGAAGUUAUUGACUCAUAGUCAAGAAAGCUUGACAGUGCUGCAGUGCAGUCCUUGGACUACAGUGGUCCACAAACUGUUAUUGGUCUACGAUAAGAUAUCUGUGUGGCUGCAAGAUCCACGUGCAUGACCCUUCUUUCCUACCUUGUUGAUGAUGCUACAGGAUAACGAGAACACCUGGGUUUAAGAGGCAUAGAAGAACCACUUUUUAUAAAGGAUACCUCCAGUGGAUGAAGCUAUAUGAUUCAUCUUUAUUGUGUGUUACAAAAGUAUCAGUCAAUAAAAUAACAAUAAAACUGAAAAUGAAAUGGAAAACUGCUGUUAUUACAGACAGUUCGAAAAACAGUGGCCUAGAGUGGUGAUUCCCAGUCCUGGCUGCUCAACAGAAUUACCUGGUGAGCUUUGACG